rnacentral:rRNA from 1 species
GUGAGGAAUAUUGCGCAAUGGAGGCAACUCUGACGCAGCCAUGCCGCGUGCAGGAAGAAGGCGCUACGCGUUGUAAACUGCUUUUAACCGGGAAGAAACCCCAGGACGUGUCCUGGGUUGACGGUACCGGAGGAAUAAGCACCGGCUAACUUCGUGCCAGCAGCCGCGGUAAUACGAAGGGUGCAAGCGUUAUCCGGAUUCAUUGGGUUUAAAGGGUGCGUAGGCGGAGCGUUAAGUCAGUGGUGAAUUCCUGCAGCUUAACUGUAGACUUGCCAUUGAUACUGGCGCUCUUGAGUGCGCUUGAAGUGGGCGGAAUGUGCCGUGUAGCGGUGAAAUGCUUAGAUAUGGCACAGAACACCAAUUGCGAAGGCAGCUCACUAAGGCGAUACUGACGCUGAGGCACAAAAGCGUGGGGAUCGAACAGGAUUAGAAACCCUAGUAGUCC